rnacentral:misc_RNA from 1 species
UUCAUGCCGCGCGAUCGAGCAUCAACCAUCGUGAGCGUCAACAGCUUGCGGUACGG